rnacentral:tRNA from 1 species
AGAGAAUAGUUUAUUUAAAAUAUUAAUUUUGGAGAUUAAUGAAGGGAGAUUUCCUUUCUCUGAA